rnacentral:rRNA from 1 species
ACUGCUGCAUCUCCAGUUGUACCAGAUCAAGAAGAAGUCACUUCUCCACCAAUGGAGGGGUUCACACCUGUUUUGUCAAAGUCUGCAAAGAGGAAAAUGAGGGCUGCUAGAAAGAGGGUUGCUCAGAGUUCUGCAAGAGUGGUUACUCAUGCUCCAGUGUCAGUAAUGAAAGGAAAGAUUGUUGAAGCGGGACCAUCCGUUCGCCAGCAGUCCAAGGACAAGGGAAAGAAAGUGGUGUUUGAGAAAUCCGAGUUUCCGCCAUUUGUUUACAAGGGAAAAGAGAAGAUGGUGGAGACACCCAACUCCAAGCUACCUGGGAAAAGAGGCGGCGUUGCGGUCAUAUUGCCGUCAGUGUCGUCUUCAACAGGAAGGCCCACCAACACUCAGAAUAUACUUCGAGCCGAUGCUCCUGAGUUCGUCCCCUCACUGGCCCAUAAACCUACACCAUCAGUUCCUCUGUUUGAAGAAGCACCCAUCUUAUGAGAGUCCUUUGAAGGUUCGUUUGAUCCAGUGCGACAUCAACGGCGACAGAGAAAUGUCCGUCGAUCUUGGAUUGAUCUUCCAAUUGCCGUAGAUCAAGAUGCGGCGAGCUGACACCGUUCUCAUGUGAGCAAGUCUGUCAAGGGGAGAUGGAAAAACACUCGUCCAAAGAUCCAAGUUCAGAAUCCAGAUGACUCGUCACAGCUUCUCGGUGCAUCCACGUCACAAAAUGAUGAGGGUGGUGUCAUCAUGCGACUGGUGGAGGCCCUGGCCCAACGACCUGAGUACCAAGAGUUCAUUCAGCAACAUCCUAAACACCAAGAAAGGGCGAUGUAUAAAGAAAGAGAAAGGGCAGUACGGGCAAGGUCUGGGUCAAGCAGAGCCCAAGGGGCAGAACACAUUCCAUCGGAUGAGGACAGUCGGGCUAAAGUGAACAAGUGGCUAUCAAAUCCAUCAAAUGAGGUGGCCACGAGCUUGUCUCCAUGGCCCUCUCGUAAGUAG